rfam:Triticum urartu cultivar G1812 contig744885, whole genome shotgun sequence.
CUACUACUCCCUUCAUUCCGAAUUACUCGUCACAGAAAUGGAUGCAUCUAGAUGUAUUUUCUAGAUGCAUCCAUUUCUGCGACGAGUAAUUUGGAACGGAGGAAGUAGUAG